rnacentral:rRNA from 1 species
AUUGAACGCUGGCGGCAGGCCUAACACAUGCAAGUCGAGCGGAUGAAGGGAGCUUGCUCCUGGAUUCAGCGGCGGACGGGUGAGUAAUGCCUAGGAAUCUGCCUGGUAGUGGGGGAUAACGUCCGGAAACGGGCGCUAAUACCGCAUACGUCCUGAGGGAGAAAGUGGGGGAUCUUCGGACCUCACGCUAUCAGAUGAGCCUAGGUCGGAUUAGCUAGUUGGUGGGGUAAAGGCCUACCAAGGCGACGAUCCGUAACUGGUCUGCGAGGAUGAUCAGUCACACUGGAACUGAGACACGGUCCAGACUCCUACGGGAGGCAGCAGUGGGGAAUAUUGGACAAUGGGCGAAAGCCUGAUCCAGCCAUGCCGCGUGUGUUAAGAAGGUCUUCGGAUUGUAAAGCACUUUAAGUUGGGAGGAAGGGCAGUAAGUUAAUACCUUGCUGUUUUGACGUUACCAACAGAAUAAGCACCGGCUAACUUCGUG